AGAUUGAAUGUGUUCAUGCACAGAUUUUAUCAUCUUGUUACUCAAAAGACUGAUGGAUUCUGUCCCUGCCUGAAAAUUUCCUAAGAGGUAACAGUUCUAGGACACAGACAGAUGCUGGAAGGAGUGGAGGAAGAAGUUUAAUUACCAUAUACAGCUCUUCCAUAUGCAAGGUCUCUGGGGCAAAACUGUCAUUCUGUCUGAAGCCAGACCCUCAAUGUCAGACUAAGAGAGUCGGAUGGAGACUACAUCUUCUGCAACACUGUCUCACAUGUCUGAAUGCUGUGCUGCACUGUUGACUGUCACUGUUGGGGAUAUUGGAAGAUCACAAGAAACUCCUGAUCCUGAAUACUGGCCUGAGCCUCUUUUGGAAGAGGCCUUCCAGAACCCUACUCUUGCUAGAGCUGAAUGCCAGAGCUGUGUAAUGGGGACAUCCUGUUGUGAACUUAUGUCCUUUCUGGACAAAUGUAUUCAAUUUG
rnacentral:lncRNA from 1 species